rnacentral:rRNA from 1 species
AUGGCUACGUUCGCCGUCGCAACUGUUUCCCUUCCAGGGCGCGUUGCCGGAACUCGGCGGUGUGUGGUGGCGCGGGCGUCUGCGACAAUGGCGGUGGCCGGGAGGACGCACUACGAGGUGCUCGGGCUGGGCGCGGGGGCCAGCAGGGAGGAGAUCAAGGCGGCGUACCGGCGUCUUGCCAGGGACGUGCACCCGGACACUGCCGGUGGAGGUGGCGACGAGGACUUCAUCCGGCUGCACGCGGCUUACGCCACGCUGGCCGACCUCGACGAGCGCGCGCGCUACGACCGGGACGUGGCCGGCCGCGCGGCGGGGACCAUGAUGAGGCGGGCUGGGUCGACGGGGCCAGCAUUCCGGCGGAGGACGUGGGAGACGGACCAGUGCUGGUAG